rnacentral:rRNA from 1 species
UAGGGAAUCUUCCGCAAUGGGCGAAAGCCUGACGGAGCAACGCCGCGUGAGUGAUGAAGGUCUUCGGAUCGUAAAACUCUGUUAUUAGGGAAGAACAAAUGUGUAAGUAACUAUGCACGUCUUGACGGUACCUAAUCAGAAAGCCACGGCUAACUACGUGCCAGCAGCCGCGGUAAUACGUAGGUGGCAAGCGUUAUCCGGAAUUAUUGGGCGUAAAGCGCGCGUAGGCGGUUUUUUAAGUCUGAUGUGAAAGCCCACGGCUCAACCGUGGAGGGUCAUUGGAAACUGGAAAACUUGAGUGCAGAAGAGGAAAGUGGAAGUCCAUGUGUAGCGGUGAAAUGCGCAGAGAUAUGGGGGAACACCAGUGGCGAAGGCGACUUUCUGGUCUGUAACUGACGCUAAUGUGCGAAAGCGUGGGGAUCAAACAGG